GACUCUGUAGCUCAGUGGAUUAGAGCGCUUCCCUGCGGAGGAAGAGGUCGGGCGUUCGAAUCGCCCCAGAGUCGCCA
rnacentral:tRNA from 1 species